CACGUAGGGUGCAAGCGUUAAUCGGAAUUACUGGGCGUAAAGCGUGCGCAGGCGGUUCUAUAAGACAGAUGUGAAAUCCCCGGGCUCAACCUGGGAACUGCAUUUGUGACUGUAGAGCUGGAGUACGGCAGAGGGGGAUGGAAUUCCGUGUGUAGCAGUGAAAUGCGUAGAUAUGCGGAGGAACACCGAUGGCGAAGGCAAUCCCCUGGGCCUGUACUGACGCUCAUGCACGAAAGCGUGGGGAGCAAACAGG
rnacentral:rRNA from 1 species